rnacentral:sRNA from 1 species
UAUUUUUUCACCUCGGACUCCGAUUCAGUUGAUACAAGACGGGAGC